rnacentral:rRNA from 1 species
GGAGAGUUUGAUCAUGGCUCAGGACGAACGCUGGCGGCGGGCUUCAUACAUGCAAGUCGAACGAGAAAGUAUCCUUCGGGAUGCGAGUACAGUGGCGCACGGGUGAGUAACGCGUAGGCAACCUGCCCUUGAGUGGGGAAUAACCAUCGGAAACGGUGGCUAAUACCGCAUACAGUCGUGCAUCGCAUGGUGCACGAUGAAAGUCUUCGGACGCUCGGGGAUGGGCCUGCGUCGGAUUAGUUUGUAGGUAGGGUAACGGCCUACCUAGGCAACGAUCCGUAGCUGGUCUGAGAGGACGAUCAGCCACACUGGCACUGAGACACGGGCCAGACUUCUACGGAAGGCAGCAGUAGGGAAUAUUGGGCAAUGGGCGAAAGCCUGACCCAGCCACGCCGCGUGGAGGAAGACACCCCUAUGGGGCGUAAACUCCUUUUAUACGGGAAGAACCCCUCCCUCAGGGAGCCUGACGGUACCGUAUGAAUAAGCACCGGCUAACUCCGUGCCAGCAGCCGCGGUAAUACGGAGGGUGCAAGCGUUGUCCGGAUUCACUGGGUGUAAAGGGUGUGUAGGCGGGACGGUAUGUCAGAGGUGAAAGCCCACGGCUCAACCGUGGAAUUGCCUUUGAAACUGCCGUUCUUGAGUCUCGGAGAGGUCGCUGGAAUUCGUGGUGUAGCGGUGAAAUGCGUAGAUAUCACGAGGAACACCAGAGGCGUAGGCGGGCGACUGGACGAGUACUGACGCUGAGGCACGAAAGCGUGGGGAGCAAACAGGAUUAGAUACCCUGGAAUCACUA